rnacentral:rRNA from 1 species
CCUACGGGUGGCAGCAGUGAGGAAUAUUGGUCAAUGGACGAGAGUCUGAACCAGCCAAGUAGCGUGAAGGAUGACUGCCCUAUGGGUUGUAAACUUCUUUUAUAUGGGAAUAAAAUGUUCCACGUGUGGGCUUUUGUAUGUACCAUAUGAAUAAGGAUCGGCUAACUCCGUGCCAGCAGCCGCGGUAAUACGGAGGAUCCGAGCGUUAUCCGGAUUUAUUGGGUUUAAAGGGAGCGUCGGUGGAUUGUUAAGUCAGUUGUGAAAGUUUGCGGCUCAACCGUAAAAUUGCAGUUGAAACUGGCAGUCUUGAGUACAGUAGAGGUGGGCGGAAUUCGUGGUGGAGCGGUGAAAUGCUUAGAUAUCACGAAGAACUCCGAUUGCGAAGGCAGCUCACUGGACUGCAACUGACACUGAGGCUCGAAAGUGUGGGUAUCAAACAGGAUUAGAUACCCGAGUAGUC